AUUGAACGCUGGCGGCAGGCCUAACACAUGCAAGUCGAGCGGAUGACGGGAGCUUGCUCCUUGAUUCAGCGGCGGACGGGUGAGUAAUGCCUAGGAAUCUGCCUGGUAGUGGGGGACAACGUUUCGAAAGGAACGCUAAUACCGCAUACGUCCUACGGGAGAAAGCAGGGGACCUUCGGGCCUUGCGCUAUCAGAUGAGCCUAGGUCGGAUUAGCUAGUAGGUGAGGUAAUGGCUCACCUAGGCGACGAUCCGUAACUGGUCUGAGAGGAUGAUCAGUCACACUGGAACUGAGACACGGUCCAGACUCCUACGGGAGGCAGCAGUGGGGAAUAUUGGACAAUGGGCGAAAGCCUGAUCCAGCCAUGCCGCGUGUGUGAAGAAGGUCUUCGGAUUGUAAAGCACUUUAAGUUGGGAGGAAGGGCAGUAAGUUAAUACCUUGCUGUUUUGACGUUACCGACAGAAUAAGCACCGGCUAACUCUGUGCCAGCCGCCGCCGUAACAC
rnacentral:rRNA from 1 species